UUCUCCUUCACAUUUUUUUGUGAUGCCCUAUAAAGAAAGCAACAGAUAUAGAGAUUGUAAUGAAUGGAUGCAGUUGUGUUUUCAAAAAGAACCAACAAUUCACCAAAUAUCUCUGUGUGUCCACCAGGGGCACAGUGCUGUGAUCAUGCCAGUACUAACCUAUACACCCAGAGGAUAUUUAACAAGGGGUCAAUGAGGCCCAAGGCUGAUCACGGGACUGACUAAAAGGAUAGAAGAUGGAUGGACACACAGACAGAUAGAUAGAUAGAUAGAGAGCUAGAUAGAUAGAUCCAUAGAUAGAUAGUUAGAAGAUAGAUGAUUGACAAACAGCUGAUAGAUGGAAGACAGAUACAUACAUAUAGAGCAAAUCCCAACAUUAACUUUGACCUGAUAACUAUAUUUGCAAUAAGCAUACUUUGAAUAAAAUAAAAAUGCGUCGCCAUACUGAACUGAUGUUUACCAAAAUGAGAUAAACAUAAGCCCAUUGCCAGAUUUUGAUCACACAAAUAAUUUCCUCUGAAAAGUAAGCUCCCGUUGACUGACAAAAACACUGAUUUUUUUCUUUGUAUGCAAUUUCUCUUGUGCUUUUUGUUCUUCUCUACCCUUCAAAUUGAAGAUUUGUGAGAGGAUAACGCACUGGUGCAAACUAAUUUAUUUUGUGAAUCUGAAGUUUAUUGUUAGGUUCCUUAAAUUGUAACACAGC
rnacentral:lncRNA from 10 species